rnacentral:rRNA from 1 species
AGCGAACGCUGGCGGCAGGCUUAACACAUGCAAGUCGAACGGGCACUUCGGUGCUAGUGGCAGACGGGUGAGUAACACGUGGGAACGUGCCUUUCGGUUCGGAAUAAUCCAGGGAAACUUGGACUAAUACCGGAUACGCCCUUCGGGGGAAAGAUUUAUCGCCGAAAGAACGGCCCGCGUCUGAUUAGCUAGUUGGUGAGGUAAAGGCUCACCAAGGCGACGAUCAGUAGCUGGUCUGAGAGGAUGAUCAGCCAAAUGGGGACUGAGACACUGCCCAAACUCCUACGGGAGGCAGCAGUGGGGAAUAUUGGACAAGGGGCGCAAGCCUGAUCCAGCCAUGCCGCGUGAGUGAUGAAGGCCUUAGGGUUGUAAAGCUCUUUUGUCCGGGAAGAUAAUGACUGUACCGGAAGAAUAAGCCCCGGCUAACUUCGUGCCAGCCGCCGCUGUAA